AUGCAAGUCGAACGAUGAACUGGAGCUUGCUCCAGGGAUUAGUGGCGAACGGGUGAGUAACACGUGAGUAACCUGCCCUUGACUCUGGGAUAAGCGCUGGAAACGGCGUCUAAUACCGGAUACGAGCUUCAGCCGCAUGGCUAGGAGCUGGAAAGAAUUUCGGUCAAGGAUGGACUCGCGGCCUAUCAGCUAGUUGGUGAGGUAAUGGCUCACCAAGGCGACGACGGGUAGCCGGCCUGAGAGGGUGACCGGCCACACUGGGACUGAGACACGGCCCAGACUCCUACGGGAGGCAGCAGUGGGGAAUAUUGCACAAUGGGCGAAAGCCUGAUGCAGCAACGCCGCGUGAGGGACGACGGCCUUCGGGUUGUAAACCUCUUUUAGUAGGGAAGAAGCGAAAGUGACGGUACCUGCAGAAAAAGCACCGGCUAACUACGUGCCAGCAGCCGCGGUAAUACGUAGGGUGCAAGCGUUGUCCGGAAUUAUUGGGCGUAAAGAGCUCGUAGGCGGUUUGUCGCGUCUGCUGUGAAAACUGGGGGCUCAACCCCCAGCCUGCAGUGGGUACGGGCAGACUAGAGUGCGGUAGGGGAGAUUGGAAUUCCUGGUGUAGCGGUGGAAUGCGCAGAUAUCAGGAGGAACACCGAUGGCGAAGGCAGAUCUCUGGGCCGCUACUGACGCUGAGGAGCGAAAGCAUGGGGAGCGAACAGGAUUAGAUACCCUGGUAGUCCAUGCCGUAAACGUUGGGAACUAGAUGUGGGGGCCAUUCCACGGUCUCCGUGUCGCAGCUAACGCAUUAAGUUCCCCGCCUGGGGAGUACGGCCGCAAGGCUAAAACUCAAAGGAAUUGACGGGGGCCCGCACAAGCGGCGG
rnacentral:rRNA from 1 species